UACGUAGGGUGCGAGCGUUAAUCGGAAUUACUGGGCGUAAAGCGUGCGCAGGCGGUGAUGUAAGACCGAUGUGAAAUCCCCGGGCUUAACCUGGGAACUGCAUUGGUGACUGCAUUGCUGGAGUAUGGCAGAGGGGGGUGGAAUUCCACGUGUAGCAGUGAAAUGCGUAGAGAUGUGGAGGAACACCGAUGGCGAAGGCAGCCCCCUGGGCCAAUACUGACGCUCAUGCACGAAAGCGUAGGGAGCAAACAGG
rnacentral:rRNA from 1 species